AUUUGAUGAACACUAUCAAAAUUCUCUCUCUCUCUCUCUCUUCUGUUAUAUUUAAGGCAGUAAACAAAAACUCUUCCUUAAAGUUUCCUUUCAACAAUAAUACAGUCAAGCAUUUUGGGCUAAAGGCCUCUAUUCUCUAGAACGCACUGAAGGCUUGGAGCAGCCAAGAAAGCAAAGGAUCUCAAUCUUCGCAGGAUUUUGAUGGCAACCUGUACCAACAUUCUGGAUUAGAUGUUGAGCAGCUUCUGAGCAAAAUGGAACCUUGUAGGACACCUGAGGUUGAUGGCCUAGAUGUCAUACACUUUCCUUUGAUGCAUGUAUUCAAACAGAUUCUAGACAGGAAAGUUAAUCUGGAACCAGGAUUUGUAUUCAAUCGCCUAAAUGGUUCUUUCCAACUUUGGGAUGUCUUAUUGGGUAUUGAUUCUAACUGAUUUCUCAUUAAAGACAACAUUUGCACAUAUAAUGUAUAGCUAUUUUUAGAAAAAGUAUAAUUAAAAAUUUCUCUGAGUGGAAUGCCCACACUUGAUUUAAGCAUUUUCUUCCCCAACAUUUAGUGAGCAUUUACUUAAUUAUGAAAAAUAUGAGCAAUGCACUUCUUGUGAAUAAAGCCAAGUAUUAUUAAUAAAUGUCUAUAACAGCCAGAAAGUUAGAGCUUGCUCUAAACAAACAAUUGAGAAGAUCAUCUGAAAGGUGAAUUGACAGAACAAUGCAUAUUCUCUCGAUUUCUUUUAUAAACACCUUGUUUAAUCCUUUAAGGCAAGAUGCCCAGUCUCACUGUCUGAAC